CGACGUAGUUUGCGAGUUCGCUCGCCCACGGUACCGCCAAAAUUUCCUGGCUCCGUAAGCUCGAACACGAUCGAUCGAGGCGUCCUGAGGACUGCGUGAUUUAAAUUCGAUUCUGACGAAAGAGUACAGAAUCACGGGAGAAGGCGGAUCGUAUUACACCAAUGUUGCGAUUCAACAUCGUUCUGAACGAAGACGCGUCAGGGAAAUCGACUUACGAGAUGUUGCAAACACCAAGCGAUCUUGAACGAAUUCAAGGCUGCGGAGAGGACCACGUUGCAGCGAACGUUCAGCUUGCAGGUUCGAUUCCUUCGACUUUUGCAACCGUCUGUUUCAAAGAAUAUUUAGACACUAGCUCUAAGUGUUCAACGAUGAAGAUCUGUCAAGUUUGGUUUAUUCGGGACGAGGGAAGACGUUCUCCCUCAGACACGGGAUGAAUACCACACCGUCUACGUUCCUCCAUGGUCAGUGCUGAAACGCGUUGGGAAAGGUUAAGUUCCCGCAUGAUCGGAUGCGUUCGCGAGACGUCUGGAGACGGAUGAAGAGGUGUUGCGACAUACCUUCUUCUCCUUGGAGGAAUAAAAGAACAGUUGUAGACCAACCCGCACACCUUCGGUUCAAAAUAAGUCCUCGAUGAAAGUGAGCUUUUCUUGGAGGUACACCGCUCCAAUGUAGCAAGCUUGACAUGGUAUUUAAAACUGCUCGGAGAAAGAUACGAGAAGAGAAAGAGAGAGGAGAAAGUGAUAAAACCAGAGGCAGAGAAAAGGGGGAGGGACGUAUCCAUCGUACUCUCCACCAUGUUCCCGAACGACGGUUCGGUGUGUUUAUCGUGUACGAGUCUGCCAAAUAUAACCGAGAAGCGUGAAACGCGUGCGCCACGAGUGCACGAGUCGUCGUGGCUCGCGUGUUUAAAUGUUUUUAGGCGAGUAUCUAGCGGACUACCGUGGUCUUGCUUGCUUGGCUAGGCUCUCGCGGGCUUCGUUGUGUCGCCCCGUUGCUGCUGCGUGGCAAACGGCCAACAAAAACAAGUACAUGCGUAGGUGAUCUGCGUGUUAGGGUAAGUUCAGGCUUAGGUACAUUCUAUCCCGAUGUUUGUCACCGGUUGUUAAAACCGAAUGUAUCGCUACCGAUACAUAGUGGUACAGUGGUUCUUGCCACUUGAGUUAGGCCGAUAGAAACAGAAACAGUUGUUGGAAUGUGAUAUAGAAUUGAAAGAUUUGGACCUGAGGAUUGUUUUAAAAAAAUUU